GAUUGAACGCUGGCGGCAGGCCUAACACAUGCAAGUCGAGCGGUAGCACAGAGAGCUUGCUCUCGGGUGACGAGCGGCGGACGGGUGAGUAAUGUCUGGGAAACUGCCUGAUGGAGGGGGAUAACUACUGGAAACGGUAGCUAAUACCGCAUAACGUCGCAAGACCAAAGUGGAGGACCUUCGGGCCUCAUGCCAUCAGAUGUGCCCAGAUGGGAUUAGCUAGUAGGUGGGGUAACGGCUCACCUAGGCGACGAUCCCUAGCUGGUCUGAGAGGAUGACCAGCCACACUGGAACUGAGACACGGUCCAGACUCCUACGGGAGGCAGCAGUGGGGAAUAUUGCACAAUGGGCGCAAGCCUGAUGCAGCCAUGCCGCGUGUGUGAAGAAGGCCUUCGGGUUGUAAAGCACUUUCAGCGGGGAGGAAGGCGUUAAGGUUAAUAACCUUGGCGAUUGACGUUACCCGCAGAAGAAGCACCGGCUAACUCCGUGCCAGCAGCCGCGGUAAUACGGAGGGUGCAAGCGUUAAUCGGAAUUACUGGGCGUAAAGCGCACGCAGGCGGUCUGUCAAGUCGGAUGUGAAAUCCCCGGGCUCAACCUGGGAACUGCAUUCGAAACUGGCAGGCUAGAGUCUUGUAGAGGGGGGUAGAAUUCCAGGUGUAGCGGUGAAAUGCGUAGAGAUCUGGAGGAAUACCGGUGGCGAAGGCGGCCCCCUGGACAAAGACUGACGCUCAGGUGCGAAAGCGUGGGGAGCAAACAGGAUUAGAUACCCUGGUAGUCCACGCCGUAAACGAUGUCGAUUUGGAGGUUGUGCCCUUGAGGCGUGGCUUCCGGAGCUAACGCGUUAAAUCGACCGCCUGGGGAGUACGGCCGCAAGGUUAAAACUCAAAUGAAUUGACGGGGGCCCGCACAAGCGGUGGAGCAUGUGGUUUAAUUCGAUGCAACGCGAAGAACCUUACCUGGUCUUGACAUCCACAGAACUUUCCAGAGAUGGAUUGGUGCCUUCGGGAACUGUGAGACAGGUGCUGCAUGGCUGUCGUCAGCUCGUGUUGUGAAAUGUUGGGUUAAGUCCCGCAACGAGCGCAACCCUUAUCCUUUGUUGCCAGCGGUUCGGCCGGGAACUCAAAGGAGACUGCCAGUGAUAAACUGGAGGAAGGUGGGGAUGACGUCAAGUCAUCAUGGCCCUUACGACCAGGGCUACACACGUGCUACAAUGGCAUAUACAAAGAGAAGCGACCUCGCGAGAGCAAGCGGACCUCAUAAAGUAUGUCGUAGUCCGGAUUGGAGUCUGCAACUCGACUCCAUGAAGUCGGAAUCGCUAGUAAUCGUAGAUCAGAAUGCUACGGUGAAUACGUUCCCGGGCCUUGUACACACCGCCCGUCACACCAUGGGAGUGGGUUGCAAAAGAAGUAGGUAGCUUAACCUUCGGGAGNGGCGCUUACCACUUUGUGAUUCAUGACUGGGGUGAAGUCGAACAAGGUAACC
rnacentral:rRNA from 1 species